CGUGCAUGUGUAUGAGCGUACAUGUGAGUAUAACCUCCAGGGAGUAGCCCUGGCAAGGUUAUGUGCAUGUGUAUGUGCGUACAUGUGAGUAUAACCUCCAGGGAGUAGCCCUGGCAAGGUUAUGUGCAUGUGUAUGUGCGUACAUGUAAGUCUUGAUAACACUGUCGUGAUAAAACGGAACGAACAAACCAAUGAAACUCUGUUUACACUUGCAUUUCAUGAACAUAAAAUUAUUUAUAAUACAACUACACUAGUUUAAACGAUAAUCUAGUUAGCUGUACAAUGGGCAAAAUCCUUCUUCACAUUGCCAGUAGGUAGGCAGAUUAGAAAAAAAACAAAAGUUUUACUUACGUUUUCACUUCUGUGGACGUGGUAAGUAGAACUUUUAGUUCUACUUUUAUCCUGGCUUCUGAUAUGUUGAGGUUCUUGAUAAAGUAAACUCCUUUGUCGUAUAUGUAAACUAUUUAUUACAGUACAGCGUUUGUGUAGCAGAGGGUACUAAGUUAUCGAGACAACUGACAAGUGACGACUGAGCUUUUUCUCAGCAUUUCCCGCCUUAAAUAACCUUGUCGAUGACAGUUGGUAUUCUGUACAAAAAAGAUUUAAAGCGGGAAACGAGUAACUACCACAAAAGUGUUGCCAGUUACAAAAAUAUAAAAGCAUAUUGUGACGUUAUUAAUAAAUCAUUUUACAAGAACUAUUUGUAAAUUUAAAAUAAUAUUUAUAAAUUUAGCCUAACAGU